AAAGGCUAUGUAUUCUGAGCUCAUCUGGAUCAGAGGAGUCAGCACUGUCAUUUGUGUUUGGCAGAGACUGAAAGGCAGAAAUAUCAGAGAUGCUUACGUAGAAUUUGGAAAACUUUAAUUUUCACCAAAUACUCAUGUGCUUUGGGCUUACAGCAUAUGAAUUUUGGCAGAAGAGAAGUGAACCAGAAUAGAAGGAGGAGGG
rnacentral:lncRNA from 1 species